rnacentral:rRNA from 1 species
GCCCAGACUCCUACGGGAGGCAGCAGUGGGGAAUAUUGCACAAUGGGGGGAACCCUGAUGCAGCGACGCCGCGUGGGUGAAGGAGCACCUCGGUGCGUAAAGCCCUAUCGGCAGGGAAGAAACAGACGGUACCUGACUAAGAAGCCCCGGCUAACUACGUGCCAGCAGCCGCGGUAAUACGUAGGGGGCAAGCGUUAUCCGGAUUCACUGGGUGUAAAGGGAGCGUAGACGGCGACGCAAGUCUGGAGUGAAAGCCCGGGGCCCAACCCCGGGACUGCUCUGGAAACUGUGCGGCUUGAGUGCGGGAGGGGCAGGUGGAAUUCCUAGUGUAGCGGUGAAAUGCGUAGAUAUUAGGAGGAACACCGGCGGCGAAGGCGGCCUGCUGGACCGUAACUGACGUUGAGGCUCGAAAGCGUGGGGAGCAAACAGGAUUAGAUACCCCCGUA